AGGUUGGUACUAAAUAAUGGAAACUGGAAAACACAUAAUUCUGAAAUGUGAGUCCGGGGGUUCAAAUCCCUACCAACCUA
rnacentral:tRNA from 1 species